UACGAAGGGGGCUAGCGUUGCUCGGAAUUACUGGGCGUAAAGGGCGCGUAGGCGGUUCUAUAAGUCAGGCGUGAAAUUCCUGGGCUUAACCUGGGGGCUGCGCUUGAGACUGUGGGACUUGAGGUCAGAAGAGGGUCGUGGAAUUCCCAGUGUAGAGGUGAAAUUCGUAGAUAUUGGGAAGAACACCGGUGGCGAAGGCGGCGAUCUGGUCUGAUACUGACGCUGAGGCGCGACAGCGUGGGGAGCAAACAGG
rnacentral:rRNA from 1 species